rnacentral:rRNA from 1 species
GACGAACGCUGGCGGCGUGCUUAACACAUGCAAGUCGAACGGAAAGGCCCUGCUUUUGUGGGGUGCUCGAGUGGCGAACGGGUGAGUAACACGUGAGUAACCUGCCCUUGACUUUGGGAUAACUUCAGGAAACUGGGGCUAAUACCGGAUAGGAGCUCCUGCUGCAUGGUGGGGGUUGGAAAGUUUCGGCGGUAGGGGAUGGACUCGCGGCUUAUCAGCUUGUUGGUGGGGUAGUGGCUUACCAAGGCCUUGACGGGUAGCCGGCCUGAGUGGGUGACCGGCCACAUUGGGACUGAGAGACGGCCCAGACUCCUACGGGAGGCAGCAGUGGGGAAUAUUGCACAAUGGGCGGAAGCCUGAUGCAGCAACGCCGCGUGCGGGAUGACGGCCUUCGGGUUGUAAACCGCUUUCGCCUGUGACGAAGCGUGAGUGACGGUAAUGGGUAAAGAAGCACCGGCUAACUACGUG